UACAGAGGGUGCGAGCGUUAAUCGGAAUUACUGGGCGUAAAGGGCGCGUAGGCGGUUGUAUGGGAGUGAUGUGAAAUCCCCGGGCUUAACCUGGGAAGUGCAUUGCUGACUGUAUGACUGGAGUAUAUGAGAGGGUGGCGGAAUUUCCGGUGUAGCGGUGAAAUGCGUAGAGAUCGGAAGGAACGUCAAUGGCGAAGGCAGCCACCUGGCAUAAUACUGACGCUGAGGCGCGAAAGCAUGGGGAGCGAACAGG
rnacentral:rRNA from 1 species